CCAUCAUCAAAGGAGGAGCGAGGCCAAAAUGCAAACAGUGGGAGAGAGGAGUAGACGACUAGGUGCCGAUCCUGGCGGCGAUCUGCGGAGGCCAGCACGAGGCACGGUCCUCCUUCCUGUCGGAGAUAGCUAACCCGAUGUGCAGGCACAGGUUAUGCAACAACGUAGUGUGCCUGCUUGGCACACUGCACCAACGCUUGGGACCGACGAUGCUUGCAUGGUCCUUCGCUGGACUGGACGUGUAGCCUGUCACCUUGUUGCCAGUCAUGCGACUCCGCAGGAAAAAUCAAGUUGUGUUGGAGGAACAUGUAAGAAGAUUGAACGUCGGGCCGGUGGAUCGGUCGACGUAUCGAUAGAAGGCUUCGGGCCGUGAAUUUGGAUAUCGAGCCAAGAAGAGCGGGUAUUGCACUAAGGAUAUCGAAGUUACGGAGUCAACUAGCUAAUUGGACAAUAGGCCACAGGAGAGGAUGAUGCGCCGAAGAAUCGGAUGAAGCGUCGAGGGACCAAUGACAUACCAAACAACUUGAUUAAUGCUUAUUAUUAAUUGUCUAGAUCGAAAUUUGUUUUAUAUGUGUAGGAUUAAUUACGAUGGCAAUAAGACAUACAGCAGGUGUUACGCCGGAGUCAAGACCAUAAUCACGUUGGAGGUUCAAGAGUUCGACGGAAGUCCGGAUGGUCGUUGGAGGUUCUGCGGGAACAAAUCCGAGAAGUCCAGGAGCUUGCCAAAGAAGCUCGUCGGAACUCACCAAGUGGAUCGUCGUAAGUCCAGGAGUUUGUCGGAAGUCCACCAGAAUAUCGCUGAGGGUUCGUUGGAUGUUCGCCGGAAGUUCACCGGAAGCUCGCCGGAAGAAGCGAUUGACACACUGGUAUAAGUUGCAGUAUUAAUGUCUUAAAUAUCGUAGUUAACAUGUCUUAAAUAUGAUAGAUUCGUCAUUAUAGAAAAUCAAUUCAAAGCGAAAGUAAUAUCAAUGAGAAUUUAUCGCCUAUGCCUCAAGACAAGUCAUCUGAUGGAUAAUCUUGUUGACACAUAUUAUGUUACUAUUAUUCUUAGAAAUUUAGUUUUUUAUCUAGAAUUGAUGUGUUAGGAUAUUAUUUUUCUUUUAUAACUAUAAAUCGUUAUAUUUUAUGAUUUAAUAAAAGUUGAUUCUAAAAUUUUAUGUGAUGAUUUAUAUAGAAUUAGUUUAAAUCUUGACACUGUAAUCAAAUGUUUAAUUGAAAUAUAGUUUUAAUAAUAAAGUAUCUUUGAUAUUAUGACAUAGACGUUUAGGACAUAUCUUAAAGGAAAAAAUUAAAAGAUUAGUGAAGAAUAAGAUUUUUUAGGAUAUAGACUUUAUUGAUUUUGAUGUUUGCAUAGAUUAUAUUAUGAGAAAGUAAAUUAAGCAUAUAAAGAAAAAUAUCAUAAGAAGUAAAGAACUCCUUAAGAUUAUUCAUAUUGAUAUUUAUGGUCUACUCCAUAUAUUUUUUUGAAUAGAGAAAGAUAUUUUAUCAUAUUUAUAGAUGAUAUGACCAUGUAUAUCUAAUACAUAAAAAGUCUAAAAAAUUAUUAACACUUUUGAAAUAUACAUAAAUGAGGUCGAGAGAUAAUUAGAUAAAAAAAAGUCAAGAUUGUUAGAUUUGAUAGAGAUGUAAAUUUUAUGAUAGAUAUGUUGAAUCCAAUUAGAAUAUUAGUCUUUUUACUAUAUUACUAAAAAAUGAGGUAUUUAUGCUUAGUAUGUCUUAACAAAUACUCUACGAUAGAAUGACAUUGUUAAAAAGUGAAAUUAUAUCUUAAACAGGGUUCAUAGUAAGUUGAUUGCAUUAACUCUGAAACCUAAUUUAAGACAUCUAUAUAUUUGAGGGUGUCUUAUAGGGAGUAUUUAAUCCAUAUGAAAAAAAAAAUAGAUCCAAAAAUUAUUUUUAAUAUUUUAUUUAUUAUCCAAAAAAAUCCAAUGGAUAUAAAUUUUAUUGUCCUAAUCAUAGUAUGCGGAUAGUAGAAUUAGUCAAUGUAAGAUUCUCAAAAAAGGAUAAAACUAGUGAGAGUAAAAAAAGUUUGAAUGAUCAAUUUUGAUAUUGAGGAGAUACAAGUUAAUACUUCUUUUCAUCUCCUAUUUGAGAUAUUACUAUUUCUCAAAUCAUUGAGAGAACUAAUGAGGAUGAAUAAUAAAAUAACAUUGAUAAACUCUCAUAUAAUAUUAAUAUCAUCGCUAAUGAUCUUAUAGAACAACUAUAAUCAAUAGUUUUGAGAAGAUCUCAAAGAAAAAAAUGACACGAUAUUUCUGAUGAUUAUGUGGUAUAUUUAUAAGAAUCAGAUUAUGACAUAGAAAUAAAAAGGAACCCCUUAUCAUUUUUACAAUUCAUAAAAUGUAGCAAUCUCGAAAACUAUAUGAUGCAAUGAAUGAAUAGUUAAAAUUGAUAAAUUAGAAUGGUGUUUAAAAAUUUAUUGAAUUAUCUCAUAAUUGUAAAAGAGUUAGUUACAAAUGAGGUUUUAAGACAAAACGUGACUCAAUAUCGAAUGAUAUAAAGUCAGACUUGUGACUAAAGACUUUUUUUAGAAAGAAUACAUUGAUUAUAAUGAGAUUUUUUUUAAUUUAUAUAAAGUACUUAUUAAGGAUUGUCAUAAUAAUAGUAGCUCAUUAUAAUCUUGAUUACAUCAUAUAUAUAUAUAUAUAUAUAUAUAUAUAAUAUUUUUAAAUAGAGAUUUGGAUGAAAAUAUCUAUAUAAUAAUCUGAAUGAUUCAUAGAAAAGAAAAAGGAAAGUUGGGCUUGCAAACUUUAUAAAUUUAUUUAUGACCUUAAAUAAGUUUUCAUGAUAUUAUUAUUUCAUUCAAACUUUAGAAAAAUACUAUUAAUUAGUAUAUAUAUUUGAACAUUAGUAGGAGUAAGUUUAUUAUAUUUAUCUUAUAUAUAAAUAUAUUUUGCUUACUAGUAGUGAUCUUGGUUUAUUGCACGAAAUUAAAAUAUUUUUUACUAAAAAUUUUAAUAUGGUUGAUAUAAAUGUGGUAACCUAUAUUAUUAGUAUUGAGAUAUUCAGGGAUAGUUUUCAAGGAUUGUUAGGAUUGUCUCAGAAAGGAUAUAUUGACUAACUCUUGGAGAGAUUUAGUAUGCAUCUUUGUGUAGCUAAUGAUAUACGUGAAAGAUUUAAUCAAAGUUAGUAUCCGAAAAAUGACUUAAAAAAGAAUCAAAUGAAGAAUAUUCCUCAUGCAUGUAUAGUUAAAAGUCUAUUAUAUACUCAAACCUGCACAAGACUAAAUAUUAAUUUUAUAGUUACAAUACUUAGUAGAUAUCAAAACAACCCAAGAAUAAAAUAUUAGAAAGUUGUAAAGAAAUUAAUGAUAUAUAUAUAAGGGAUAAAAGAUUAUAUAUUCAUAUAUAAGAGAUCAGAUUGACUUGUAGUGAUAGGAUAUUCAAAUAUUAAUUUUAUAAAUUAUUUUAAUAGUAGAAAGUCCACUUUAGGAUUUAUAUUCAUGUUAGUUGGAGGGAUAAUUUUUUUAAAAAUAUAAAGUAAUUAUUUAUUAUAUCAUCAAUAAUGGAAUCUAAAUUUAUAACAUGCUUUGAGGUCACAAAUUAAGUUUUAUGAUUGCGAAAUUUUAUUUUAGGACUUGGUGUGAUCGAUUCAAUUACCAAGCUAUUAAAGAUGUUUUAUAAUAAUAUUAUACUAUUUUUUUCUCUAGAAUAGCAAGUACUCUAUUAUCUUUAGAUAGAUCAAAAUAAAGUACUUGGUGAUUAGAGAAAGAGUUUAGAAACAACGUGUCAUUUGAUAACCUAAAUACUAUCUUAAUAAUUAUUUAUUAAUUUACUAAAGUUUUAAAAUUUAAAAUAUUUAACGAAUAUGUUCGUAGAAUAGAGCUUGUGAGUAAACUAUCAAGGAUAUAUUGAUGUAUAUUUAGAUGGAUGAUAUUAUUAAUUUUUUUUAUUUAAAUAAAGUUAUUUAUUUCUGUUAUCUUAUUUAUAUUUAUGCAUAUUAUAAUUGAAUGUAAUACUAUGAUUAUCUUAAUAAAAUAAAUUAUGAGGGUUAUUAUGGACUAUGUUAGGAAACAUUGAUAGUUUUAUGGUCUAUAGAAGAGUAUGACAUUAAUGACAUACAAUCACUCUAACUCGUAAUGAUAGUUAGACUUAAUAUAGUAUUAUAGUGGUUAUUAGAUUUAUUGACAUAUUUUAAAAUUCUUAGCCAUGUAUAAAAUAAUUUUUAAAUUUUUUUAGAAUCCAAUUGGAUAAAAUUAUUUUCAAAUAAAUUUUAUUUUUAUUUUGAUUUUAAUUUUUUUUAUAUCUUAUGAAUUAAUGAUUCAAAUGGAAGAUUAUUAGAUUAUGUGGUUCUAUCUAAUUAGAUAAAAUAUAUUAUAGAUAUAAUUGAAUUCUAAUGAUGUUUAUUAGCCAAUUGAAAUGAAGUCUAAUUAUGAUAGGUUUUUUCAGGAGAUGAACUUGAUGGGAGGAACUUUCCUAAUUAUUUAUCUUAGACCUUUCCUCUACUCUCGCUUGUAAAUAGAUAUGAUCUCUUAAAAACUUAACAUGGAUAUGUGACAUUAUCGAGUGAUUAUGGAUUUGUUUUCUUAUCUUCUCUUAGUCACGUGAGUAGUUAUUGAAAUAUUACAUAUUUUUUUUAUUUCCCCUAUCCCUAAUUUAUUAUUCAUAGUGAUUUUAUGAAAAAUAGAAUGAGAGGAGAAGUGAGUCUAAUUCUUGUAAAUCGACAUCACUGAGACUAAGAGAAGAUAAGAUGGCAUUGAAAUGUAUGUAUUAUAAAUUUAAUCUAUUAUUAUUUGAUUUUAAUUAUGACAUUAAAGUUUUUUACAUAAUAAUAACAUAUUAUGAAUUUUUAGGUUUACAAUGUCAUUUGGGUAAGGGGACCUUAUAAAGCUUGGCUCCCACUUUUCAAUAUGAUCCAAUUAUUAUAUAAUGCAUUAGUAAAACCUUGUUGGCGAGAAGUUAUCAUAUAUAAGAUCAGAAUGCAUGACUAAUUAUAGAACAUGUUUAAGGGUUAUAGAACAUUGACAACCUAACUACCUUGAAAUUAGUCGAGUUCAUGCUACCGCAAUUUGCUUUGUGCUUAAGUGUCACAUGACCCAACAUGUGACACUUAAGCACAAAGCAAAUUGUGGCCUACACUUGUAUAAUGAUAAUACAACUAUAGUCAAGUGUCACAUGACCCAACAUUUAUGCACAGGCUUAAGUCAAAAUGCAAGCCAAGACAAGCCAAAUCUAAGAGUAUGCGUUCCAUUUACAGCUGUCUUACUUGACUAAACCUAAGAGUGCAUGAGUGAUACUAUCUGACUUCGCACAAUAAUGUGCAAGUCAACAUUACAUAAUCUAGUAUAGUGUGCAUUAUACAAUGCAUAUAGAAUAAGUGGCCGACGUGGGCUAUCAACCCGAGCACUUACCCAUCUUUGUCAUCAGCCACCUUAACCAUCAUUACCCUCCUUGACGAUCGAAGCUGCCACCCUGUGUAGUUGGCAUAGAUGUGGAGCUCGAAGGUUCCACAUCAGCUUCCCAGAUCAUCGGUGAAUUGAGUUCAGCUUAAGAGUUUGCAUUGUGUUGUAGAAGAAUUUGCAUCGAGCAUUAUCAUGAGUGCUGAAGCUGAUAAGGAUGAGGAUUAAAAAGAGUCUUCAACCCAGGAGUUAGGAGAAUUGAUGGACACCAUAUCAUAUGUGUAAUGGCUGUCGAGUUUUGAGCACGGUAUGUGUAAUGCCUCAAACUUAGUAAAGUGGUAAAGAUUUGAACUGAUCAUAUAUUAUCAGAGUCAAUGAUCAUGAUGAAAAGAUACCUGUAGAUGGAGCCAGAGUGUAUAUCACGCUAAGAUUUGAUUUUUAGUUUAUAUUGUUUCUUGACGAGAACUUCAAACUUUAAGUAGGGAAGAUCGAUUCAGACGUCACAUGCAUCAUUUUUAGAUUUGAUGGAUGAUUUCUUUUAAAAGUAAUAUUUUCUGAUGAAUUAUCUGAUCCGAUCAUAUAAGGAAUGCUGUGCACAACACAAGGAAAAGAGCGAAGCGAGAGUAGAAACUAUCCAACUAAAGACAGCAGCAAAUCGAUCCCACCACCUGUUUUGAGAGAUUGUCAGAAUUCUCUUUUGAGAGCUGUGUUUCUACCUUCAACCUUCCACCCUAAAUGUUGAUGGUGGUAACUCGACGCUUUGAUAUAGGAACUGAUGUAUAAUAUAUAUACAUUGGGAUGAGAAUUUUGCACAUGAUAUAACAUGGAUUUAACUUGGUUGUGAAUGAACUUGUUCUCUUCUUCAUCAUUAUCAAGUGCUCUAACCAAUGUAACUUGUGAAGCAAACACUUGAAGAAACUACAGCAGGAUAGACGUACAUGACAUCUAAUGGUUCUCCAUGCUUUUACAUCUCCUUAGACUCGUCACAGCUGACAUCCAUGUCAUUCUUCCAUAGUAAGGUUCCAGAUCUAAUGAUCUUUCAGACAGUAACCUGAGAGAAAUAGCUUCUUUGUUUUUCUUUUCCUUGUACCAAGUUGAAACAUACU